rnacentral:rRNA from 1 species
UACGGAGGGUGCGAGCGUUAUUCGGAAUUACUGGGCGUAAAGCGCGUGCAGGCGGGUGGACAAGUCUGAUGUGAAAGCCCCGGGCUCAACCUGGGAAGUGCAUUGGAAACUGUUCAUCUUGAGUGCUGGAGAGGAAGGGGGAAUUCCCGGUGUAGAGGUGAAAUUCGUAGAGAUCGGGAGGAAUACCAGUGGCGAAGGCGCCCUUCUGGACGGCAACUGACGCUGAGAAGCGAAAGCGUGGGGAGCAAACAGG